rnacentral:rRNA from 1 species
GACGAACGCUGGCGGCGUGCCUAAUACAUGCAAGUUGAGCGCUGAAGGUUGGUACUUGUACCAACUGGAUGAGCAGCGAACGGGUGAGUAACGCGUGGGGAAUCUGCCUUUGAGCGGGGGACAACAUUUGGAAACGAAUGCUAAUACCGCAUAAAAACUUUAAACACAAGUUUUAAGUUUGAAAGAUGCAAUUGCAUCACUCAAAGAUGAUCCCGCGUUGUAUUAGCUAGUUGGUGAGGUAAAGGCUCACCAAUGCGAUGAUACAUAGCCGACCUGGGAGGGUGAUCGGCCACAUUGGGACUGAGACACGGCCCAAACUCCUACGGGAGGCAGCAGUAGGGAAUCUUCGGCAAUGGACGAAAGUCUGACCGAGCAACGCCGCGUGAGUGAAGAAGGUUUUCGGAUCGUAAAACUCUGUUGGUAGAGAAGAACGUUGGUGAGAGUGGAAAGCUCAUCAAGUGACGGUAACUACCCAGAAAGGGACGGCUAACUACGUG